CUCCCAGUCUCUCCCUCUCCCACACAAUUCCCCAUUCCCCACCGUGUUUCCACCAACCACCAGGGGCGGCGAGGGAAAGCUCCGAAGUGGCCGGCGUGGGUGACCAUGGCCAGGUGCCAGACGAGCUCCGCGACGGGGCAUCGCGGGCAAGCUCCUCGAGGGGCUGCGAGGGCGAGCUCGGCCAUGGCACGGAGCGGGCGAGCCAGCUAGGGGCAACACGGGCGAGGUACGCCAUAGCCGGCGCGGGCGACCACGGCGAGAUGCCGGCGCCGACGAGCUCCGCGAUGGGGCGGCGCGGGCGAGCUCCUAGAGGGGCGGUGAAGGCGAGCUCGGCCAUGGCGCGGCUGGGCAAGCUCUAGCCAGGGGCGGCCGCGGGCGUGCGCAGGGGAAAAAAUGAACUGGAGUCAGACUUUAGAAGGUUCUGGGAAGAAUUCCGCUCUUCCAGCUCUGAAAAGGUCAUCAGUUUAUACAGAGAAGACCCGGGGCAUAGAGAAAGAGAGACAGACAGUUGGAGAGUACCAUGGCUGUUCAAUUCUUCUCGCAGUUCAGGAGGACGCCACUGAUGCCAUUGACAACAUCAUGUGCAAACUGAAUAUGGAGAGCCACGCAGCCUCCCGCCUUGACAGUGUUUGCCGACUACAACUUAAAUGAAUCAUCCUCCACUAAUGGGCUGGUUGUGGUGGCUGCAUUUGUUAAUGGCUUGGCUGUAUCAUAAAUGGGCAACUUCACCUCUACCCUCAGCAAUGGAUUCCUACUUCUGUUAUGGUUGCCACCGGAAAAGGUGCUUCUCUAGGUGUUCUUAUGAAAGGUGGCAAUGCACUUCAGAAAGCUCACAAGGUAAUCUUAUGAGCCUUUGUAUGCUAGUCUGUGUGUGUGCACAUGUGCAUGCCCAUGUAAUACAGAGGUAGAGACUCGGGUGGGAUUUUCUUGAUCUUAUUUUCUGGUUUUUUAGAACUUUUCCGCACUCUAUGUCAGGCUAAGGAGCACUCGCAUCGGCACCGAAGAACAUCAGUUUACCUUUAAGAGAUCUCUGAAAUAUUUGAGGGUUAUUGUGUGUUUACGGAUUUUUGUUGGAUUCAAGUCGAAUUACUAUUGUUUGUGAUUUUACCACUCCAAAUCGUGACUUAACUAUACACUCCAAAUCAGAUAUUUUAAAACGCAUUUGUAAAUUACCUUCUCUCCGCUAUAGGAGACUAUCUGAAACAUUGGCUCUUUGUGUGCAGGAUGUCUUCCUCACCUUCCACUGUAGAAGGGUUAGUAUGCUCCACAUUUUUCUCAGUAUGCAUUUAUCUAUCCUGUAGUGUCUCUAGAUCUCAGUUUACUGUUAAUACCCUUCAGGCUCUCAAUUUAAUCCAUGGUCUGCAUCAAACUAUUUAUUUGUUCAGGACCAUGAACCAUCAAAUGGUGUAUUUAAUUAAUGAUUAUUAUCGGUUCUUUAAGACAAAUAGCAUGGUACUGUGUAGAAAUUUCAGGUUAAUUAUGUUGAACAGGUUGCAUUUGGCAUGCUUGCAGAUUUUUUAAAAUUCCUGAAUAUGCACUAAUAACCAGCUCAAGGGUUCUCUAAGACAAAUAGCAUGGUGCUGUGUAGAAAUUUCAGGUUAAUUAUGUUGAACAGGUUGCAUUUGGCAUGCUUGCAAGGAUUAGCUCCUUGCCCUACUAUUCCAUAACACUUGGAAGUAGUCAUAACACAGAAGCUUAACUGAAUUAUAGAGAUUUGGCAUGUUUUGCACUAUAAAUUGUUUUGCACUAUUACACUUUAUAGAGAUCAUGAAUCACAUGCUAAGCUAAGCUGCCCCUGAAUAGCUAAGCUGCCCCUGAAGAUUAAUUAAUUCAGUGUGAUGCUCAAGUUCACCUAAAGCUACUGGAGACAUGAGACAUUAAGGUAUCCAUGGAGUUAUAGGUGAACUGAGUGCCCUCUGUUCAUACACCAACAAGUUCUAUUGCAGAAUGCAGAUUGAUUGCCAUGGGCCUGAGCAGCCUAUUUUUUAACAUAAAAUUAGUUAUUAUGACAAUAUACAUAUGGGAGUAAUCAUUUUCAGUGUGAUUUCGUGUUAGAAGUAAAGGCUAGGUAUUUGGAGUUGACGGGUAGUUCCCUAAACUGUAUCAUUUUCAGUGUGAGCCUUAUACUUUGGUGCCAAUUCAUUAUUCACCUCUUACACAUAUCAUAAUUGUUGGAAUACUUACAUUUUCGUCGACGAGGAUAGCAUGGUAGAUUAGAUCACCUCCUCUAUUGUUUUUUAUUCGACCAGAAAUAAGUUUCGCAGUUGCCUCCCAGGAUCUGUUGUAGAUAUGCAAUUGUUCCACAUUGCAGAAUGUAACAUGACUGCAUUAUAAACGGAGAAACAUGAGUAAAACGUGAUGCUAAGAACAUGAGUAAAACGUGAUGCUGGAACUUACCUUGGUGCAAUUACCCUCUUGGAGGCGUGGCGACUGAGAAGGUAUUGACUCAGCAUGGCGCCUGAAGAUGGAUCAGCUGGACGGAGAUGAAGAUGGAUGAACUCGACUGAGACGAAGAUGACCUUAGCCUGGAAUUUUGUAGACGUUUCGGAAAAGAACUGAGCUAUGGUUUAUACUUUGGUCCAGGUUUUGGUCGAGGCUAAGUUGCCCAGGCAUGGUCACUCGGUAGUUUGAAAAAUCGUUCAGAUUCCAUGCGUGAAUAAGGAUCAGCUGGACGGAGAUUCCAUGCGUGAAUAAGGAUCAGCUGGACGGAGAUUCCAUGCGUGAUUACUGGUAAGUAUUUAUAACCUGGCGUGGUCGGCCCAUGUUAACGCUUGGCCCAGGCGGGUGCAAAGAAGGACGACGAAGACCAAGGACGACCAAACGUAUUGGCUUUGGCAGAAUAAGGAACCAAUUGAGUCUUUUUAAGUAGUAGAGA